UACGUAGGGGGCUAGCGUUGUCCGGAAUCACUGGGCGUAAAGGGCGCGUAGGCGGCGUUUUUUUAAGUCGGGGGUGAAAACCUGUGGCUCAACCACAGAAUGGCCUUCGAUACUGGGACGCUUGAGUAUGGUAGAGGUUGGUGGAACUGCGAGUGUAGAGGUGAAAAUUCGUAGAUAUUCGCAAGAACACCGGUGGCGAAGGCGGCCAACUGGACCAUUACUGACGCUGAGGCGCGAAAGCGUGGGGAGCAAACAGG
rnacentral:rRNA from 1 species